UAGGGAAUCUUCCACAAUGGACGCAAGUCUGAUGGAGCAACGCCGCGUGAGUGAAGAAGGUUUUCGGAUCGUAAAGCUCUGUUGUUGGUGAAGAAGGAUAGAGGCAGUAACUGGUCUUUAUUUGACGGUAAUCAACCAGAAAGUCACGGCUAACUACGUGCCAGCAGCCGCGGUAAUACGUAGGUGGCAAGCGUUGUCCGGAUUUAUUGGGCGUAAAGCGAGCGCAGGCGGAAUGAUAAGUCUGAUGUGAAAGCCCACGGCUCAACCGUGGAACUGCAUCGGAAACUGUCAUUCUUGAGUGCAGAAGAGGAGAGUGGAAUUCCAUGUGUAGCGGUGGAAUGCGUAGAUAUAUGGAAGAACACCAGUGGCGAAGGCGGCUCUCUGGUCUGCAACUGACGCUGAGGCUCGAAAGCAUGGUUAGCGAACAGG
rnacentral:rRNA from 1 species